AUUACUCUUUCAAUCCCCCUUUUCUUUUCAAUCGUAUCUUUCUAUUGCUCCUGUCGUUCUUAUCCAUCUUCCUCUCUAUCGUUCUUCAAAAAAGAAUUUACUCUAAAUUUUGUUCCAAAUUUUAUAAGAUCAUUUAGUUUCGUAUUUUUCUCUUUCAUCACCCACCGCCGCCCGCCGUCCAUCACGAUUAACGUCCACCACGACAUCGUUUGAGUCCCACAAAACCAGUCUAAGAGAGUUAUGGAGUUUUUUUGAUAGUGCUUAGAGCUGUGGAGGCUGCACAAAUAAUGCUGAAUGGUCGGCUAGGAGGUCAUCGAGUUUGACGAUGCAUUACGGAGAGCAAAUCUAAGGUGAAUAGGCGAACGGGGUGUAUUCAAGCCAAAUUUUGGCUUGGCAGAAACAUGAGGAAAUAAAAGCUAUUGAGAAAAGUUUGAAUGAGUACAUGUAUCAAAAUUAUGGCCCGAAGCAUCGCGAGGGCUUCGUUCUAGUAUAUAUAUAUAUAUCUGUUAAUAUCUUCAAACAAGUUAUUUGUUAUAUGAAAAGUGAAACACAUUUGGUUAAAUGUUAGCUCAUCCUUUUUAGUCAUUUUUGUUUUUGCUCACUAUCAUAAUGAUAAUGUUGUUUAGAAUUCAUCUGAUACAACUACAAGAAUGAAGCCGGUGGUCAAAAAGAAUACGAAAAUAGCGUUCCAUCUUAACUUUUAUAAAGCCUCACUGAAUGUGUGUGUGUUGUAAAUGUGACGGCGUUUGCAGACGGUUGUCAGUUGCGUAGGGCCAGUUUUAAAUGUCUAUAAAUAUGAAAAAUUAUAUCUUUUCUCUUCUCUUCUAUUUUCUUAGAAAACUGAUUCUAUAGCUUUGUAAUUGUAGAAGAAUUAGAUGGAUUAAGUAGAAUCAGUUUUGAUCAUCCGAGGAGCGCCGACGAAGAUGCAGUUACAGUCACAGGCGACGCCGCCGCCGCACCAAAUGCAAGUAGGGCCUCAGCAUGUCGUGGUGCCUCACCCCGUUCAUAAACUCUCUUUGCAGUCAAUUCAGCUAACGAGAGUACCAUUGCCCUGUGCUAAACAAGGUCUUUACUGAAUUCACUCAUAUUGUCGUUGUGCAAACUACAAGAAACGUUUCUGUUAUGAGGCAAUUAAAGAGUUAAAUAUCAAGACCAAGAUCUGGAAAAGAAGGUUGAAAUAUGUUUAUUACUUAUUUGUUACUGGUGUCACGGACAAAUUGAUGUUUAUUAUUAUUUUUCCGGGUCUUGAACUGGUUUUAUGAGAAGAUAUUACUGAUUUCAGCGAUCACCAUGCUGAGUUUGACAUGAUAAACACUGAAGUAUAGGGUGCUUCAGUUGACAAUAUGACUAUGGUUCGUGCUAAUAAGACGAAGGCAUGGUAACCGGAAAGAGCAGCACUCAAGUAUAUAUUCACGUGCUGGCUGAGUUCACUGUUCUCGCAAAGUUUCGUUUUGAAAAAAUUAUGCAUUUACAUGAUAAUGACGGGUUAUAUAGAAAAAUGAAUUUUUCAUUUUUAAGAUUGAAAAUUUAAAGUCAGUUUAAACUUUUUAAAUCUUCAAACAAGGUAUUUACACUUAUAUUUGUUGUUUAUAUACAUGUUUAAGCUUGUUUUAGUGGAUGAAUUAGUGUUGUUAUGGGUUUA